UUAAGUUCAGCGGGUAUCCCUACCUGAUCCGAGGUCAGCUGGUGUAAAGAUUUAACGGCCACGGCCGCCCGCGCCCCGAAGCGAUUCAUGAGAUCACAACGCUUGGAGACGGACAGCUCAGCCGGAGACUUUGAGGCGCGCGGGGACCCCGCGACGCCCAAGACCAAGCGAGGCUUGAGUGUGCAUUUGACGCUCGAACA
rnacentral:misc_RNA from 1 species